rnacentral:misc_RNA from 1 species
UCCGGUUUGUCACCGGCAGUCUCCUUAGAGUUCCCACCAUUACGUGCUGGCAAAUAAGGACAAGGGUUGCGCUCGUUACGGGACUUAACCCAACAUCUCACGACACGAGCUGACGACAGCCAUGCAGCACCUGUCUCUCGGUUCCCGAAGGCACCCCCGCAUCUCUGCAGGGUUCCGAGGAUGUCAAGACCUGGUAAGGUUCUUCGCGUUGCGUCGAAUUAAACCACAUGCUCCACCGCUUGUGCGGGCCCCCGUCAAUUCAUUUGAGUUUUAAUCUUGCGACCGUACUCCCCAGGCGGUCAACUUAUCGCGUUAGCUGCGCCACUAAAAACACUAAGGUUUCCAACGGCUAGUUGACAUCGUUUACGGCGUGGACUAC